UAUUGGCUCAGGACGAACGCUGGCGGCAGGCUUAACACAUGCAAGUCGAACGCGUGUAGCAAUACACGAGUGGCGCACGGGUGAGUAACGCGUGGAUAUCUGCCUUUUGGUUCGGAAUAACCCCGGGAAACUGGGGCUAAUACCGGAUGGUUCCUUCGGGAUAAAGAUUUAUCGCCAAAAGAUGAGUCCGCGUACGAUUAGCUAGUUGGUGAGGUAAUGGCUCACCAAGGCGACGAUCGUUAGCUGGUCUGAGAGGACGAUCAGCCACACUGGGACUGAGACACGGCCCAGACUCCUACGGGAGGCAGCAGUAGGA
rnacentral:rRNA from 1 species